rnacentral:tRNA from 1 species
GGAAUAUAGCUCAGUUGGUAGAGUGCUUGCCUCAAAUACAUGAGGCCCUGGGUUCAAUCCCAAGCACCA